rnacentral:rRNA from 1 species
GAUGAACGCUGGCGGCAUGCCUAAUACAUGCAAGUCGAGCGAAGCGGGGACGGGUGAGUAACACGUGGAUAACCUCCUAUAAGACUGGGAUAACUUCGGGAAACCGGAGCUAACCCGGAUCCUUAUAGAUGGGUCCUCGCUGUAUUGGCUAGUGGGUAGGUUAACGGCUUACCAAGGCAACGAUGCAUAGCUGGCCUGAGAGGGUGAUCAGCCACACUGGAACUGAGACACGGUCCAGACUCCUACGGGAGGCAGCAGUAGGGAAUAUUCCGCAAUGGGCGAAAGCCUGACCGAGCCACGCCGCGUGAGUGAAGAAGGUCUUCGGAUUGUAAAGCUCUGUUAUUAGGGAAGCGGUACCUAAACAGAAAGCACCGGCUAACUACGUGCCAGCCGCCGCGGUAAUUC